rnacentral:tRNA from 1 species
CAGAAAAUAGUUUAUGAAAAUUUUAAUUUUGGAGAUUAAAGAUGAAAGUUAUUUUUCUUUUCUGAAGUUUUAAAAGAUUAUCUUAU